GUCCAUGCUGUGACCGAUGAGUGUUAAAUGUUGGAAAUUACAUUAUAAUUUUCAGUAUUUGAGCUAACGCGUUAAACACUCCACCUGGGGAGUACGAUCGCAAGAUUAAAACUCAAAGGAACUGACGGAAGACCGUAUAAACGGUGGAGCAUGUGGUUUAAUUCGAUGCACCGCGCAAAACCUUACCAAUUCUAGUAUAGAAGAGACUUUUUAAGUUAUAAUUAAGAUAAAUUUGUAACUUUUUAUAUAUUUUACAAAUACUUCUUUCAGGUGCUGCAUGGCUAUCGU
rnacentral:rRNA from 1 species